rnacentral:rRNA from 1 species
AGCGGAAGCCGGGAAUGGGAUCCCGGUGCAAGCGAGGUACCAGUCACAUUGGAAAAACCGUGUGGCAAUGGGAAGACGUGAUGCGGAGUGAAGUUUAGUAAUGAAGUCCGUGAGCUGUGCGUCAAGAAAAGCCGCUAUUGUUCAUACCAUACCCGUACCGUAAACCGACACAGGUGGAUGAGGAGAGAAUCCUAAGGCCGGCGGAAGAAGCAUUGUCAAGGAACUCGGCAAAAUGACCCCGUAACUUCGGGAGAAGGGGUGCCUGUGAGAGCAGGCCGCAGAGAAUAGGCUCAAGCAACUGUUUAGCAAAAACACAGGUCUAUGCGAAACCGAAAGGUGAGGUAUAUGGGCUGACGCCUGCCCGGUGCUGGAAGGUUAAGAGGAGAGGUUAGCGCAAGCGAAGCUUUGAAUUUAAGCCCCAGUAAACGGCGGCCGUAACGAUAACGGUCCUAAGGUAGCGAAAUUCCUUGUCGGGUAAGUUCCGACCCGCACGAAAGGCGUAAUGAUUUGAGCGCUGUCUCGACAAUGCAUCCGGUGAAAUUGAAGUACCAGUGAAGAUGCUGGUUACCUGCGCCAGGACGGAAAGACCCCAUGGAGCUUUACUCCAGUUUGGUACUGGGAUCCGGUACUGCAUGUACAGGAUAGGUGGGAGGCUGAGAAUCGGUAACGCCAGUUGCCGAGGAGCCGCUGUUGGGAUACCACCCUUGCAGUAUUGGGUUUCUAACCAGCCGCCGUGACCCGGCGGUGGGACAAUGCCAGACGGGGAGUUUGACUGGGGCGGUCGCCUCCGAAAGGGUAUCGGAGGCGCCCAAAGGUUCCCUCAGGAUGGACGGAAACCAUCCAAAGAGUGCAAAGGCAGAAGGGAGCUUGACUGCGACACCGACGGGUGGAGCAGGUACGAAAGUAGGGCUUAGUGAUCCGGUGGUAUUAAGUGGGAAUGCCAUCGCCCAACGGAUAAAAGCUACCCUGGGAUAACAGGCUUAUCACUCCCAAGAGUUCACAUCGACGGAGUGGUUUGGCACCUCGAUGUCGGCUCAUCGCAUCCUGGGGCUGUAGUAGGUCCCAAGGGUUGGGCUGUUCGCCCAUUAAAGCGGUACGCGAGCUGGGUUCAGAACGUCGUGAGACAGUUCGGUCCCUAUCCGGCGUGGGCGUAGGAUAUCUGAGAGGAGCUGUCCUUAGUACGAGAGGACCGGGAUGGACGGGCCGCUGGUGCACCGGUUAGACUGCCAAGUCUAUAGCCGGGUAGCCAAGCCCGGAAGGGAUAAACGCUGAAGGCAUCUAAGCGUGAAGCCCCCCUCAAGAUGAGAUAUCCCAUCCGAAAGGAGUAAACCCCCUUGAAGACGACGAGGUCGAUAGGGCAGAGGUGGAAGUGUGGUAACACAUGGAGCUGACUGCUACUAAUAGGGUGAGGGCUUGAGC